AUCCUUUUUUGGGUUCAUAAGCAUGAUGGUUGGGAAUUCUGGCCCAUGCGUGAUGUAUGCCACCCAUUAAACCUUGUUAUGAUGUUGGCACAUUACCUGUCUGAUG